rnacentral:rRNA from 1 species
CGGAGUUGCUAGUAAACGCAGGUCAGCACACUGCGUUGAAUACGUUCCCGGGCCUUGUACACACCGCCCGUCACGUCAUGGAAGUUGGUAACACUUGAAGUCGCUGGGUGAACCCAUUUAUUUGGGGCACAGGUGCCGAGAGUGGGAUCGAUGACUGGGACGAAGUCGUAACAAGGUAGCUGUACCGGAAGGUGCGGCUGGAUCACCUCCUUUCUAAGGAG